rnacentral:rRNA from 1 species
CAGUCGCCGCGGUAAUACAGAGGGUGCGAGCGUUAAUCGGAUUUACUGGGCGUAAAGCGUGCGUAGGCGGCUUUUUAAGUCGGAUGUGAAAUCCCUGAGCUUAACUUAGGAAUUGCAUUCGAUACUGGGAAGCUAGAGUAUGGGAGAGGAUGGUAGAAUUCCAGGUGUAGCGGUGAAAUGCGUAGAGAUCUGGAGGAAUACCGAUGGCGAAGGCAGCCAUCUGGCCUAAUACUGACACUGAGGCACGAAAGCGUGGGGAGCAAACAGGAUUAGAUACCCGGGUAGUCCCUGUCUCUUAUAA